GCUAAUACCGUAUAACAAUCAAAACCGCAUGGUUUUGAUUUGAAAGGCGCUUUCGGGUGUCGCUGAUGGAUGGACCCGCGGUGCAUUAGCUAGUUGGUGAGGUAACGGCUCACCAAGGCCACGAUGCAUAGCCGACCUGAGAGGGUGAUCGGCCACAUUGGGACUGAGACACGGCCCAAACUCCUACGGGAGGCAGCAGUAGGGAAUCUUCGGCAAUGGACGAAAGUCUGACCGAGCAACGCCGCGUGAGUGAAGAAGGUUUUCGGAUCGUAAAACUCUGUUGUUAGAGAAGAACAAGGAUGAGAGUAACUGUUCAUCCCUUGACGGUAUCUAACCAGAAAGCCACGGCUAACUACGUGCCAGCAGCCGCGGUAAUACGUAGGUGGCAAGCGUUGUCCGGAUUUAUUGGGCGUAAAGCGAGCGCAGGCGGUUUCUUAAGUCUGAUGUGAAAGCCCCCGGCUCAACCGGGGAGGGUCAUUGGAAACUGGGAGACUUGAGUGCAGAAGAGGAGAGUGGAAUUCCAUGUGUAGCGGUGAAAUGCGUAGAUAUAUGGAGGAACACCAGUGGCGAAGGCGGCUCUCUGGUCUGUAACUGACGCUGAGGCUCGAAAGCGUGGGGAGCAAACAGGAUUAGAUACCCUGGUAGUCCACGCCGUAAACGAUGAGUGCUAAGUGUUGGAGGGUUUCCGCCCUUCAGUGCUGCAGCUAACGCAUUAAGCACUCCGCCUGGGGAGUACGACCGCAAGGUUGAAACUCAAAGGAAUUGACGGGGGCCCGCACAAGCGGUGGAGCAUGUGGUUUAAUUCGAAGCAACGCGAAGAACCUUACCAGGUCUUGACAUCCUUUGACCACUCUAGAGAUAGAGCUUCCCCUUCGGGGGCAAAGUGACAGGUGGUGCAUGGUUGUCGUCAGCUCGUGUCGUGAGAUGUUGGGUUAAGUCCCGCAACGAGCGCAACCCUUAUUGUUAGUUGCCAUCAUUCAGUUGGGCACUCUAGCAAGACUGCCGGUGACAAACCGGAGGAAGGUGGGGAUGACGUCAAAUCAUCAUGCCCCUUAUGACCUGGGCUACACACGUGCU
rnacentral:rRNA from 1 species